rnacentral:rRNA from 1 species
CCAGACUCCUACGGGAGGCAGCAGUGGGGAAUAUUGGACAAUGGGGGGAACCCUGAUCCAGCGACGCCGCGUGAGUGAAGAAGUAUUUCGGUAUGUAAAGCUCUAUCAGCAGGGAAGAAAGAAAUGACGGAACCUGACUAAGAAGCCCCGGCUAACUACGUGCCAGCAGCCGCGGUAAUACGGAGGAUGCGAGCGUUAUCCGGAUUUAUUGGGUUUAAAGGGUGCGCAGGCGGCACGGCAAGCCGGCGGUCAAAUCGCGGGGCUCAACCCCGCCCAGCCGUCGGAACUGCCGGGCUAGAGUGGGCGAGAAGUGCGCGGAAUGCGUGGUGUAGCGGUGAAAUGCAUAGAUAUCACGCAGAACCCCGAUUGCGAAGGCAGCCUUCCGGCGCCCUACUGACGCUGAGGCACGAAAGUGCGGGGAUCGAACAGGAUUAGAUACCCUAGUAAC